rnacentral:rRNA from 1 species
CAGGGAUUGCCCUAGUAACGGCGAGUGAAGCGGCAACAGCUCAAAUUUGAAACCUGGCGCUUGCGUCCGGAUUGUAAUUUGUAGAGGAUGCUUCUGGGCAGCGGCCGUUCUAAGUUCCUUGGAACAGGACGUCAUAGAGGGUGAGAAUCCCGUAUGUGACCGGCGCGCACCCUCCACGUAGCUCCUUCGACGAGUCGAGUUGUUUGGGAAUGCAGCUCUAAAUGGGAGGUAAAUUUCUUCUAAAGCUAAAUAUUGGCCAGAGACCGAUAGCGCACAAGUAGAGUGAUCGAAAGAUGAAAAGCACUUUGGAAAGAGAGUUAAAAAGCACGUGAAAUUGUUGAAAGGGAAGCGCUUCCAACCAGACUCCGCGGCGGUGUUCCGCCGGUCUUCUGACCGGUCCACUCGCCGCCGUGGGGCCAACAUCGUCUGGGGCCGCCGGAUAAGACCGGAGGAAUGUAGCUCAUUGAGUGUUAUAGCCUCCGGUGAUGCGGCGCGUCCCGGGCGAGGUCCGCGCUUCGGCAAGGAUGUUGGCGUAAUGGUUGGCAGCGGCCCGUCUUGAAACACGGACCAAGGAGUCUAACAUCUAUGCGAGUGUUCGGGUGUCAAACCCCUACGCGUAAUGAAAGUGAACGGAGGUGGGAGCUUCGGCGCACCAUCGACCGAUCCUGAUGUCCUCGGAUGGAUUUGAGUAAGAGCAUAGCUGUUGGGACCCGAAAGAUGGUGAACUAUGCCUGAAUAGGGUGAAGCCAGAGGAAACUCUGGUGGAGGCUCGCAGCGGUUCUGACGUGCAAAUCGAUCGUCAAAUUUGGGUAUAGGGGCGAAAGACUAAUCGAA